CGCGCCGCCGGGGUCCCGCCCGCUGGCUGAGAGGGGAAGGCAGCGGAGAACCCGGCGGAGGAGUCCGGCCCGCGGAGCCCGGCCCCUCCAGGGGCUGAUCUCCCGGACCACUCCGCGCGGGAAGACCCAUCGAACGCACCCUGUGAGCUCAGAUUUUUAAGGUUUCCCAGCCAGCCUGCUGGCUGCUCAUUAUGGUCGAGAACAAAAUGCUAUGUUCGAAAAGAAAAAGAAAGAAAAAAAGUAAAAGAAAAAAGAAAAAAAGUGAGAAAAAGCCUUCCGUGAAUGUACCAGGCUCAUUUCUGCAGGACCGUGCCCCUCGUUUUGUCUGUAACAGAGAAAGCUCUCCCUUACGGCUUUGUUAGAGUUGGGCAUUCUCAAGCUCCGCGUCCUCACGGAGAUACUGUGGUCAUACACUAAAGGGAAGAAAUCGCCACAGGAGCUGGGAACGGUUUGGGUUGGUUUGUUUGUUUCCUCUCCGCUAACCUUCGAAAUAAAGAAUUUGAACGUG